AUGGAAAUAGCUCAGUUGGUUAGAGCGUGGUGCUAAUAACGCCAAGGUUCAUGGGUUCAAUCCCUGCUCACUGCA
rnacentral:tRNA from 1 species